AGUAAAUCAUGUUUCUUAAGAAAGUUGAAGAAAUAACAUAAAUUGAACCAACACAGCAUUUAUCAAGCUACAAGGCCAUCAAUCAAUAUAUGUUUGUGGCCUAGAGAAAUCUAGUGUUCAAAAACUACCCAUAAGGUUCAAAAUCUGACCAAUAACAGCACCAAAGUCCACAACUAUAGUUAGAAAAAUACUAGAUACUGAAAUGCAAAGGCAAAGAAACUACCAUCUCCCCUCAAUGGUUCUCAUCAGUUAAUCGACCUCCUCCAUCUUGCUUCCCUCAGCAUCCUCCUCAAGAGGAGGCAUCUCAGUGUCCGCAGCAUCGGCUGAUACCUCAUCAUCGUCAAUGUUGAGGCCAAGCUUCAACAUGCGGUGAAUCCUGUUGCCGAAGGUGUUGGGCUCAUCGAGGCUGAAACCAGAGGUGAGCAGUGCAGUCUCAAACAGCAGCAACACAAGGUCCUUGACUGACUUGUCGUUCUUGUCAGCAUCAGCCCGCUUCCUCAGCUCUUCCAUGAUGGAGUUCUCCGGGUUGAUUUCCAUGGUCUUCUUG
rnacentral:misc_RNA from 1 species